AGUAACGCGUAUGCAACCUACCCUUUACAGGCGGAUAGCUCGGGGAAACUCGAAUUAACCCGCCAUAAUAUAAUUGAAUGGCAUCAUUUGAUUAUUAAAUCUGCGGAGGUAAAGGAUGGGCAUGCGUCUGAUUAGUUAGUUGGUAGUGUAACGGACUACCAAGACGAUGAUCAGUAGGGGAACUGAGAGGUUGAUCCCCCACACUGGCACUGAGAUACGGGCCAGACUCCUACGGGAGGCAGCAGUAGGGAAUAUUGGUCAAUGGAUGCAAGUCUGAACCAGCCAUGCCGCGUGCAGGAAGAAGGCCUUCUGGGUUGUAAACUGCUUUUGCCGGGGGAUAAAAUUCCCAUGCGUGGGACAUUGAAGGUACCCGGUGAAUAAGCCACGGCUAACUACGUGCCAGCAGCCGCGGUAAUACGUAGGUGGCAAGCGUUGUCCGGAUUUAUUGGGUUUAAAGGGUGCGUAGGCGGCCUAUUAAGUCAGUUCUGAAAUAUCCCGGCUUAACCGGGAGGGUGGGAUUGAUACUGAUGGGCUUGAGUGGAGUCGAGGUAGGCGGAAUUGACGGUGUAGCGGUGAAAUGCUUAGAUAUCGUCAAGAACACCGAUAGUGUAGACAGCUUACUAGACUUCAACUGACGCUGAGGCACGAAAGUGUGGGGAUCAAACAGGAUUAGAUACCCUGGUAGUCCACACUGUAAACGUUGAUUACUCGCUGUGUGCGAUAUACAGUACGCGGCUUAGCGAAAGCGAUAAGUAAUCCACCUGGGGAGUACGCCGGCAACGGUGAAACUCAAAGGAAUUGACGGGGGUCCGCACAAGCGGUGCAGCAUGUG
rnacentral:rRNA from 1 species